rnacentral:rRNA from 1 species
UGGGCGUAAGAGCUCGUAGGCGGUUUGUCGCGUCUGCUGUGAAAUCCCGAGGCUCAACCUCGGGCUUGCAGUGGGUACGGGCAGACUAGAGUGCGGUAGGGGAGAUUGGAAUUCCUGGUGUAGCGGUGGAAUGCGCAGAUAUCAGGAGGAACACCGAUGGCGAAGGCAGAUCUCUGGGCCGUAACUGACGCUGAGGAGCGAAAGCAUGGGGAGCGAACAGGAUUAGAUACCCUGGUAGUCCAUGCCGUAAACGUUGGGCGCUAGAUGUAGGGACCUUUCCACGGUUUCUGUGUCGUAGCUAACGCAUUAAGCGCCCCGCCUGGGGAGUACGGCCGCAAGGCUAAAACUCAAAGGAAUUGACGGGGGCCCGCACAAGCGGCGGAGCAUGCGGAUUAAUUCGAUGCAACGCGAAGAACCUUACCAAGGCUUGACAUACACCGGAAACGGCCAGAGAUGGUCGCCCCCUUGUGGUCGGUGUACAGGUGGUGCAUGGUUGUCGUCAGCUCGUGUCGUGAGAUGUUGGGUUAAGUCCCGCAACGAGCGCAACCCUCGUUCUAUGUUGCCAGCGGGUUAUGCCGGGGACUCAUAGGAGACUGCCGGGGUCAACUCGGAGGAAGGUGGGGAUGACGUCAAAUCAUCAUGCCCCUUAUGUCUUGGGCUUCACGCAUGCUACAAUGGCCGGUACAAAGGGCUGCGAUACCGUAAGGUGGAGCGAAUCCCAAAAAGCCGGUCUCAGUUCGGAUUGAGGUCUGCAACUCGACCUCAUGAAGUCGGAGUCGCUAGUAAUCGCAGAUCAGCAACGCUGCGGUGAAUACGUUCCCGGGCCUUGUACACACCGCCCGUCAAGUCAUGAAAGUCGGUAACACCCGAAGCCGGUGGCCUAACCCUUGUGGAAGGAGCCGUCGAAGGUGGGAUCGGUGAUUAGGACGAAGUCGUAACAAG